rnacentral:rRNA from 1 species
AGUACUGUGAAACUGCGAAUGGCUCAUUAAAUCAGUUAUCGUUUAUUUGAUUGUACCAUUACUACUUGGAUAACCGUAGUAAUUCUAGAGCUAAUACAUGCGAAAAGUCCCGACUUCUGGAAGGGAUGUAUUUAUUAGAUUAAAAACCAAUGCGGGUUCUGCCCGGUUCUUUGGUGAUUCAUAGUAACUGAUCGAAUCGCACGGCCUUGCGCUGGCGAUGUUUCAUUCAAAUUUCUGCCCUAUCAACUGUCGAUGGUAAGGUAGUGGCUUACCAUGGUUGCAACGGGUGACGGAGAAUUAGGGUUCGAUUCCGGAGAGGGAGCCUGAGAAACGGCUACCACAUCCAAGGAAGGCAGCAGGCGCGCAAAUUACCCAAUCCUGACUCAGGGAGGUAGUGACAAGAAAUAACAAUACAGGGCUUUUCC